CCUACGGGAGGCAGCAGUGGGGAAUAUUGCACAAUGGGGGAAACCCUGAUGCAGCGACGCCGCGUGAGUGAAGAAGUAAUUCGUUAUGUAAAGCUCUAUCAGCAGGGAAGAAAAUGACGGUACCUGAGUAAGAAGCCCCGGCUAACUACGUGCCAGCAGCCGCGGUAAUACGUAGGGGGCAAGCGUCAUCCGGAUUUACUGGGUGUAAAGGGAGCGUAGACGGCAGUGCAAGUCUGGAGUGAAAGGCGGGGGCUCAACCUCCGGACUGCUCUGGAAACUGUACGGCUGGAGUGCAGGAGGGGUAAAUGGAAUUCCUAGUGUAGCGGUGGAAUGCGUAGAUAUUAGGAGGAACACCAGUGGCGAAGGCGGCUUGCUGGACUGUAACUGACGUUGAGGCACGAAAGCGUGGGGAGCAAACAGGAUUAGAUACCCCAGUAGUC
rnacentral:rRNA from 1 species